rnacentral:tRNA from 1 species
AAAAAUUUAGUUAAGUUAUAACAUUAGUUUGUCAAGCUAAAAUAAUUAAAAUUAAUAUUAAUAAUUUUUA